CCUACGGGUGGCAGCAGUGAGGAAUAUUGGUCAAUGGACGCAACUCUGAACCAGCCACGCCGCGUGCAGGAUGACGGCCCUCUGAGUUGUAAACCGCUUUUGCACGAGGGUAAACCCCGAUACGUGUAUCGGGUUGAAAGUAUCGUACGAAUAAGGAUCGGCUAACUCCGUGCCAGCAGCCGCGGUAAUACGGAGGAUCCGAGCGUUAUCCGGAUUUAUUGGGUUUAAAGGGGGCGUAGGCGGUUUGAUAAGUCAGAGGUGAAAUGUCGGGGCUCAACCCCGAAACUGCCUCUGAAACUGUGGGACUAGAGAAUAGUUGCGGUAGGCGGAAUGUAUGGUGUAGCGGUGAAAUGCUUAGAGAUCAUACAGAACACCGAUUGCGAAGGCAGCUUACCAGACUAUAUCUGACGUUGAGGCACGAAAGCGUGGGUAGCAAACAGGAUUAGAUACCCUUGUAGUC
rnacentral:rRNA from 1 species